GCAGUAGUAGCUCAACGUUAGAGCGCCGGCCUUGUAAGCCGGAAGUCGGGGGCUAAAUUCCCCCCUGCUGCU
rnacentral:tRNA from 1 species